AGGCAAGUGCUCUACCACUGAGCCACAAACCCAGCCCUACAUGUUCAUUUUUAUAUCUGUAAGAGAAUCAAGAUUCUUUUUCUGAAAAUUAUAUUUUAACAUUAGAAAGGUAAAAAAGAUGGGGGUGGGGUUGUGGCUCAGUGGUAGAGCACUUGCCU
rnacentral:miRNA from 1 species